UGGGCAGAAUGUUUGCAUCUCCCCCAAAUUCAUAAGCUGAAGCCCUAACUUGUAAUAUGAUGGAAUGUGGAGGCUGGGGAGGUGAACCAACAAAAGAGACUGAAUGCAGGAAGUUCAUAAAUCUGUAUAAGUAGGAUAAAAAUGGCAAUCAGGACAUUCGAGAAGUUUUAAGGGACAGCAACUACUAAUAUUUAUCAAGAGUUCACCGUGCAUGGGCCACUAUAAUGGUGAACACUUGAGUUCAGGGACCAAAUAUAUAGUAAGUAACAAGG